rnacentral:rRNA from 1 species
CAGUCGCCACGGGAAUACGGAGGGUGCAAGCGUUAAUCGGAAUUACUGGGCGUAAAGCGCACGCAGGCGGUUUGUUAAGUCAGAUGUGAAAUCCCCGAGCUUAACUUGGGAACUGCAUUUGAAACUGGCAAGCUAGAGUCUUGUAGAGGGGGGUAGAAUUCCAGGUGUAGCGGUGAAAUGCGUAGAUAUGUGGAGGAAUACCGAUGGCGAAGGCAGCCCCCAGGGAUAACACUGACGCUCAUGCACGAAAGCGUGGGGAGCAAACAGGAUUAGAUACCCGUGUAGUCCCUGUCUCUUAUAA